UACCUUUCAUAUUUUCAUUUUCCUCCAUUUCUUUUCCUUUCUGGAUUAUUUUGCAGAGUACACCAGGAAAAUAACUGUCCAGAAAGGACCUCCCACCUACACAUAUGAAAAUGCUCACUUUGUGUUACAUUGUGUGGAAGAAAGUGGAGCAAAAGUUUCUAAUCAUUAUCCUGCUUCAAAGUAUCAUUUGUGAUAUGUUUGCUUCUAUGAGAAUCAUGUUCUUGUACAUGACACCAUAAUUUUCCACUGCUCAUCUCACAAGAAAACUGACCCAGUAGAAGCUGCUUGUAAACUUCAUACCACUCAGAGAUGUGGGAGGGAAACAGUAAGAGUGUGGAAAGAAGUGUUGAACCUCUGUCAGGAAUAGAAUCCAGGAGAUGGGCAAUUCACGUACAACCUGAGGCACCUGCAGCAGAAGAAGUCAUAAAACCAAGAGUGAAGGUGCCCUCUUCCUCCCACAGACACUGCCGCCGCUCCAGAAAUGGAUGCACCAUCUUCUCUGUUUCAAACAUAUGAUCUGCACAUCAAUUGUAAUGGUACAAUGUAGAAUAGAUUGUAACACUUGUGCUGCAUUACUCUUGCAAAGUUGCUUGGGGUGUGGUGUAAAAGUGGGAUACAUGGCCCCUUGUGUGAGAUCCAACCAUAGCAGAACAUUUGGAUUCCCUGGAAUAUUUCAAAAUGGUGUCCCUAGACAAGUUUGGAAAAGUUAUUUUUGGAGUACAACUUCCAGAAUCUCCAACUAGAAUGGCCAAUGAUGAGAGGGUUAUGGGAUAGUCAUUAUCCCCCCCCAAAAAAACAAAACAUAAUGACUAACAUUCUGUUCCAUAAUUAUGAUGCUGUAAGCCCAAUUUACAACAUUGUAAUUAUCCUAAUUCAUUUUUAUGGUCAUUGCACAAUCACAAUUACCAAAAAAGCCCCCAAAUGCCUAGCUUUUAAGUCAUGUAGCCCCCGAACAGAGGAAUUUCAGAGAUGCUUUUUAAGCUACUGCUUUACUCUCCUAAGGAAAAUGCCUUGCUUGUUGUAGCCCAAGAGUUAAAGCAGGUCCUUAUUAUUGCACUACCUGAUUAAUACCAGAGAGAAUUUGAAAUGGGGAAAGCAUCAAGCUUAGCAUCAUCAUUCUUUCCAGAACUGUUAUAAAUCCUGGCUCAUUGUAAAUUAAAACAAUGUUUAUCUCACACAGGCUCCAUCACUUGUAUUUGGCCUAAUGUUUUGGCAUAAAGAAAUUAGACACAUGUUUAAUAUUUUAAAGCCACAAGAAAGAAGUGUGAGGAAAGAGGAAAUAAAUUAUUAUCAGUGUAAAAAAGUCUCAGAAAAACUGAGACCUGAUUAUCUGGGCACAGAUCUGCUCUGCAUUGAUAUCAUACAAUAAUGCCUUGGCAUAAACAUUUUUCAAUGUUUUAACCAAAUUACCCUUUAAAUUACCAGCCGACAGCCAGCUGCUUUCCUCAUUUAUCUCCUCCAUAAGUCAAAUUCCUUCUUAAUUUAAACAACUGAGAUGUGAUAAGUGUCUCUUCAGUUUAAGAAGAACAUACACAUAUAUUUGCUUGGUGGAAUUAUAAAGUCAAUGUGUUUCUUUCUCAAGUGUGUCCUAAGUGCUUCCUAGUCAUUUUAGGAUUUGUUCUGUUGCUUGUGUCAGUCAAACUAGAAGCCUUAUCUCCAACUGAACAAGAUCAAGCAGAUAAACAUAGAAACUAUAACAUGUUGUGAAGGGAUAUAGAAACACAGGAAGAUGGGAUGUUCAGUGUUUACAGCAGCUCACAUCACAUCUACCAACCCAUUUAUUCCAAAGUAUUUUACAAAGACCACAAUAUCAGUACAAUCAGAAAUCGGGGAAAUUAGCUUUUGAAUUACAGUUAUGAAAAUCUCCAUUGAACAUGCUGGCUGAGAGAUUCUGGGAAAUGUAGUUUUAAGAAAACAUAACUUGUCCAAGUUCUGGAAUAGUAUUGACCGUUAAUUCCCACAACUUUAAAAAAAAUAAUGGGAUAAAGAUUGAAUUGUGAAUUCCAUCAGAUGUUUUACAUGUAGGGGUUUCUCCCCUUUAUCUUUCCCAUCCAUUCAAUAUUUAAUUUCACGGGACUACAGGGUUUAUGGGGCAUUUUAUUGCACCAAGGGAAUCAUAAAAUCAUAGAGUUGGAAGAGACCACAUGGGCCAUCCAGUCCAACCCUCUGCCAUGCAGAAACUCUCAAUCAAAACAUACCUGACAGGUGCCCACGUCAUAUGCGGGCACCUUUUACAUGGGUUCAGCUUAUGUUGAAAGCCACGCCAACAAGGUUGCAAUGGCGCCCGUGCCUUUGGUGCAUGAGCCACGCUGUGCAUCAUGCACGAGCCCCAUUAUUUUCAAUGGGGCUCGAGGAUACGUGCUAUUUGCCUUACGUGAAGGGGUGCAGAAUGGAUCCCUCACCUAAAGCAAGGGUGCAUUCUAUUACCUGGCACAGUGGCUUGAGUGUUGGACUACAGCUCUGGAGAUCAUAGUUUGCUCAGCCA